GAAAGCCGUGUGCAAUGAAAAAUGCAAGCACGGUUUGGGGAGGGAUUUUUCAUUCUUUAACUUUUAAAUUAGAAUUUAUUUAAUUUAAACAAGGAAAUUAUCUACUCCAU
rfam:Gossypium raimondii Chr05_contig_1033, whole genome shotgun sequence.